rnacentral:lncRNA from 1 species
UCAAACUUUCAAACUUUAUUAAUCAAACUCAGACGCAGUAACUGCGCUACAGGAGCAUCACAUAUGUAUAGUAUAUUAUAAUUACAGAUGACAGAAUGAGUAUAGAAAUUAUCUUACAUGUAUAUAUUAAACUAUAUGAUUUCAAGUUAUUUGAACUUAUACAAAUGUAUUACAUAUACAAAGUAAAUAUAGGUAGUAGCAUUACCGUAUAUAUAUAUAUUAUAAUUAUUAACACAUAUUUCAAAGGUAAUACACAAGUUCGUGCUUCAUCUUUGUUUUGAGUGUACUCGAUUCGGUUACAGUACGUCACGCCACCACGUGUAAAUAGAGUGUUGUGUUAUGGAAUGUAAAUAAAUAUGUCAUCCGAGUACUAGAUCAUGAGAGUACUAGAUCGUGAAGUAAUGUGACUUUUCAGUUUGACUCUAUAAGAGUUUUACAAUCUUUUGGAGGAACCAUGAUAGGUGAGUAAGAACUUGUGUAUUACCUAUAUUCAACAUUUUAUUCAUUUUUGACUCACUGGGUACAUUGACAAAGUAACCCGUUAUAUAUUUAGUUCGAAUAUCUUUCAAUUCAUUACAGCAGAAAAUAUAAUGGAAUUCGUUUCCAACAACUUGUUUACAGAGAUUGCACAAUCUUUCAUUCCUUGGUAUACCAGCCCAACGUCCCGUCUCUAUCGGAAAUUUGAGAUUGCAUGUUCUCAGUUUACAUAUAUAGUUUCU